rnacentral:rRNA from 1 species
UACGUAGGCAGCAAGCGUUGUUCGGAGUUACUGGGCGUAAAGGGUGCGUAGGCGGUCCUAUAAGUAUGGUGUGAAAUCUCCCGGCUUAACUGGGAGGGUGCGCUAUAGACUGUGGGACUAGAGUGUGGGAGAGGAAAGUGGAAUUCCUGGUGUAGCGGUGAAAUGCGUAGAUAUCAGGAGGAACACCGGUGGUGUAGACGGCUCUCUGGACCAUAACUGACGCUGAGACACGAAAGCGUGGGUAGCAAACAGG